rnacentral:rRNA from 1 species
CUACGGGAGGCAGCAGUGGGGAAUAUUGGACAAUGGGCGCAAGCCUGAUCCAGCCAUGCCGCGUGAGUGAUGACGGCCCUAGGGUUGUAAAGCUCUUUCGCCAGGGACGAUAAUGACGGUACCCGAAGAAUAAGCUCCGGCUAACUUCGUGCCAGCAGCCGCGGUAGUACGAAGGGAGCUAGCGUUGUUCGGAAUCACUGGGCGUAAAGCGCACGUAGGCGGAUUUGUUAGUCAGGGGUGAAAUCCCGGGGCUCAACCUCGGAACUGCCUUUGAUACUGGGGAUCUCGAGUUCGGGAGAGGUGAGUGGAACUGCGAGUGUAGAGGUGAAAUUCGUAGAUAUUCGCAAGAACACCAGUGGCGAAGGCGGCUCACUGGCCCGAUACUGACGCUGAGGUGCGAAAGCGUGGGGAGCAAACAGGAUUAGAAACCCUAGUAGUCC